UACGGAGGAUCCAAGCGUUAUCCGGAGUUAUUGGGUUGAAAGGGUGCGUAGGCGGAAUUGUAAGUCAGUGGUGAAAGCCCGUCGCUUAACGACGGAACUGCCAUUGAUACUGCAAAUCUUGAGUACAUUUGAUGAGGGCGGAAUGUGUCAUGUAGCGGUGAAAUGCUUAGAUAUGACACAGAACACCGAUUGCGAAGGCAGCUCUCAAAACUGUAACUGACGCUGAGGCACGAAAGCGUGGGUAUCAAACAGG
rnacentral:rRNA from 1 species